CACUGCGCCCCGCUUCAAGGUGACCCGGCGGCGUCCUGCCAACGGGUUGAAACGGGAAGCCGGUGACGUCCGCGGUCCGCGGUCCAGUCCGGCACUGCCCCCGCAACGGUAAGCGAGUCAAGCCACGGCAUCCGCCACUGGGCUGCACCUGCAGCCACGGGAAGGCGCCCUGGCCGGAAGCACGUCUUCCACUCGCGAGUCCGGAGACCGGCCUUGGUGCUGACUGGUUG
rnacentral:ncRNA from 2 species